UACGAAGGGGGCUAGCGUUGCUCGGAAUGACUGGGCGUAAAGGGCGCGUAGGCGGCUGUGACAGUCAGAUGUGAAAUUCCCGGGCUUAACCUGGGGGCUGCAUUUGAUACGUGUGAUCUAGAGUGAGGAAGAGGGUCGUGGAAUUCCCAGUGUAGAGGUGAAAUUCGUAGAUAUUGGGAAGAACACCGGUGGCGAAGGCGGCGACCUGGUCCUUGACUGACGCUGAGGCGCGAAAGCGUGGGGAGCAAACAGG
rnacentral:rRNA from 1 species